ACGCUCGACACCUACGGGAGGCAGCAGUAGGGAAUCUUCCACAAUGGACGCAAGUCUGAUGGAGCAACGCCGCGUGAGUGAAGAAGGUUUUCGGAUCGUAAAGCUCUGUUGUUGGUGAAGAAGGAUAGAGGUAGUAACUGGCCUUUAUUGACGGUAAUCAACCAGAAAGUCACGGCUAACUACGUGCCGGCAGCCGCGGUAAUCUGAGCGGGCUGGCAAGGC
rnacentral:rRNA from 1 species